GGAUGUGAGGGCGACCUGGCUGUGACGUCUGUCACCCCACUGAUCGCCAGGGUUGAUUCGGCUGAUCUGGCUGGCUAGGUAGGUGUCCCCUCCCCCGCUCAAUGCCCCGUGUGUGUCCCUCCCAAGCUGCGAGCUCGGUCGAAGAGGACGACCACCCCCGAGAGAGGGGGACCGUUCCUCGGUCAAGGGUAUACGAGUAGCUGUACUCCCCUGCUAGAACCUCCAAACAAGCUCUCAGAAAUUCCAUACCAAAUACUAGGAAAUUAGCAAUGGUUAACAUACUGCAUAUGUUGUCUUUGAAUUACAAGACAUAGGCA
rnacentral:snRNA from 1 species